CGAGAGAGAGGAAGAAACCGAGAGAGAGGCAGAAACCGAGAGAGAGGCAGAAACCGAGAGAGAGGAAGGAACCGAGAGAGAGGAAGAAACCAGAGAGAGGAAGGAACCGAGAGAGAGGAAGAAACCAGAGAGAGGAAGGAACCGAGAGAGAGGAAGAAACCGAGAGAGAGGAGGUAACCGAGAGAGAGGAGGAAACCGAGAGAGAGGAAGAAACUGAGAGAGAGGAAGUAACCGAGAGAGGGGAAGAAACCGAGGGAGGAACAAACAGAGGGAGGAAGAAACCGAGCGAGAGGAGGAAACCGAGAGAAAAGAAACAGAGAGAGGAGGAAACCGAGAGAGAGGAGGAAACCGAGAGAGGGGAUGAAACCGAGAGAGAGGAGGAAACCAAGGGAGAGGAAGAAACCGAGAGAGAGGAAGAAACCGAGAGAGAGGAGGAAAACCGAGAGAGGAAGUAACCGAGAGAGAGGAAGAAACCGAGAGAGAGGAGAAAACCAAGAGAGGAGGAAGAAACCGAGAGAGAGGAGGAAGAAACCGAGAGAGAGGAGGAAACCGAGAGAGGAGGUAACCGAGAGAGAGGAGGAAACCGAGAGAGAGGAGGAAACCGAGAGAGGAAGAAACCGAGAGAGAGGAGUCAACCGAGAGAGAGGAAGAAACCGAGAGAGAGGAGGAAAAAACCGAGAGAGUGGAGAAAACCAAGAGAGGAGGGAACCGAGAGAGAGGAGUCAACCGAGAGAGAGGAAGAAACCGAGAGAGAGGAGGAAAAAACCGAGAGAGUGGAGAAAACCAAGAGAGGAGGAAACCGAGAGAGAGGAGUCAACCGAGAGAGAGGAAGAAACCGAGAGAGAGGAAGAAACCGAGAGAGGGGAAGAAACCGAGAGAGAGGAGGAAACCGAGAGAGGAGGCAACCGAGAGAGAAGAAACUGAGAGAGGAGGAAAUCGAGAGAGAAGAAACUGAGAGAGAGGAGAAAACCAAGAGAGGAGGAAACCAAGAGAGAGGAGGAAACCGAGAGAGAGGAGGAAACCGAGAGAGGAGGCAACCGAGAGAGAAGAAACUGAGAGAGGAGGAAAUCGAGAGAGAAGAAACUGAGAGAGAGGAGAAAACCAAGAGAGGAGGAAACCGAGAGAGAGGAGAAAACCAAGAGAGGAGGAAACUGAGAGAGAGGAAGAAACCGAGAGAGAGGAAGAAACCGAGAGAGAGGAAGAAACCGAGAGAGAGGAAGAAACCGAGAGAGAGGCGGAAACCGAGAGAGGAGGUAACCGAGAGAGAUGAAGAAACCGAGAGAGAGGAGGAAACCGAGAGAGAGGAAGAAACCGAGAGAGAGGAAGAAACCGAGAGAGAGGAAGAAACCGAGAGAGAGGAGGAAACCGAGA
ensembl:lncRNA